rnacentral:ncRNA from 1 species
AAAUGGUAAUCGUGCCGAAACCUACCGACCAUUGACACUACAUGAUGAGAGGCCAUGGAAGUCGGAAUCCGCUAAGGAGUGUGUAACAACUCACCUGCCGAAUGAACUAGCCCUGAAAAUGGAUGGCGCUAAAGCGGGCUACUUAUACUUUGCCGUUAGCGCGAUAGCAUUUAUAAUGUACGCGUUAAUG